CCAGCAGCUGCGGUAAUUCCAGCUCCAAUAGCGUAUAUUUAAGUUGCUGCAGUUAAAAAGCUCGUAGUUGGAUUUCGGGUGGGAAUGGCCGGUCCGCCGUUUCGGUGUGCACUUGCUACGCCCACCUUGCUGCCGGGGACGUGCUCUUGAGUUCACGCUCGGGACACGGAGUCGGCGAGGUUACUUUGAGUAAAUUAGAGUGUUCAAAGCAGGCCUACGCUCUGAAUACAUUAGCAUGGAAUAACACGAUAGGACUCUGGCCUAUCUGUUGGUCUGUGGGACCGGAGUAAUGAUUAAGAGGGGUAGUCGGGGGCAUUCGUAUUCCGUUGUCAGAGGUGAAAUUCUUGGAUUUACGGAAGACGAACAUUUGCGAAAGCAUUUGCCAAGGAUACUUUCAUUGAUCAAGAACGAAAGU
rnacentral:rRNA from 1 species